CCCCCACCCCAGCGCCUCCUCCCUCCCUCCACUUUACUCCACCUCCGCCGCCAGCCGAGAUCCCGACCAACUCCGGCGACGCCUUGCAGCGCUGAUCCUCGUCCCCGAAUCCCCUCCUCCCCCUCUCUCUAUUCCACCCCAUCAAACCUCCAAAUUGUCAGCCCCAAAGCAAACCCUAGCCCGUGAUCCAGGAGGUGCUGCAGGAGGUCCGUGGCGACGGCGGCGCCCCGGCAGCGGGCGGUGGUGACUCGGAUCGGCGACCGGCUACACCGCGCAUGGCAGAUGCGGCCGGCCAGCGAGUCCCGGUCGUCACCGACGCCAGCGACCCGAGGGACUGGAACACGCCGGCAACCUCGUCCGGGCGCCAAGGACUGCUCCGGCGUCGGCCACCCCUUCUCCUUGUCGUUCCCCAUCCAGGCCAGCCUCCACCGCACGGCAAGCUGCUGCUCCUGCUGCCAGCGACGUCCACGACCACGACCUUCUGCUGCAAUCAACCUCACCAAACUCCUGCUGCCGGCUAGGCAUGGAUCUGAUGUGCUGGCUGGGUGUAGAUCUAUUUGCAGGCUUUCUUUCAUCUGGAGAAUGUAACCCUGGUCGUGGAGGUGAGGGGCGUUCCGUUUUGAGUGAGGACUGGCGAUAGGUAGAGAUGGCAAACUGCAAGGGCCUUGGUGGCGAGGGAAGUUCGCGGCGGUGUUGUCGCACGUUCUUCCGGUGUACUACAUCUCGGAGGACUGCGCCAUCAUCUCCAGCAUCUCCAUAGCGUGGAUGUGUGCAGUGACUGUCAUGGACUGCAGGAAGAGGGUGCUGGAACUUGUGAGCUCGGAGGCGAAUGUGUGCAUGGUAAUCGCUGACAGAUGCCGGAGAUGACUGGGCACAAGCACCUCUAGAAGGUCAAGGUAAGUCCAUCUCGUCAAAAUCCAUAAUAUACUGUGCAUGUACAGAAAAUUAUUUGUUAUUACUCUUUUUCUAUUUGUGAUGAACCAGAUCCUGGACAAUGGAUGUUAAGCACGAUUGUGUCAGGUAACAGGGCAUCCAUUUCUGGAACCUUUUUUGUGCGCUGCUCAUCCUGGGCCUCUCUUUGAGCAGUUCAUCUCAACUACGUUUCAUUUCCUUCCAGCCAAGCACAGCUUCUCUGUGUUGGCUGCUUCCUGCAAUGAAUGCUUUAUUAUUUUUGCUGCUAGAAUCAUUGGUGUACCAAUUGACAACAGCAUUGCUCCGGUGUUCUGUUUUUUCAGGGGUUGGUCGUUAGUGGAAGUGCUCGGACGAAGCUUCGUUGUUUUCUGGGCCUUUUGUUUUUCUUUUGGUAGCUAGACACCGGACGUGAACUGUGCAUGAUUGUAAUGUACCACUAUUGUCUGAUAUAUUGUUUGUUAAUUGGCUCUUGAAUCAAAAGAA